rnacentral:rRNA from 1 species
CGUAGGGGGCAAGCGUUAUCCGGAUUUACUGGGUGUAAAGGGAGCGUAGACGGAACGGCAAGUCUGAAGUGAAAAGCCCGGGGCUCAACCCCGGGACUGCUUUGGAAACUGUUGAUCUAGAGUGCUGGAGAGGCAAGUGGAAUUCCUAGUGUAGCGGUGAAAUGCGUAGAUAUUAGGAGGAACACCAGUGGCGAAAGGCGGCUUGCUGGACAGUAACUGACGUUGAGGCUCGAAAAGCGUGGGGAGCAAAACAGGAUU